rnacentral:rRNA from 1 species
AUGACAGUCGAACGGUGAACACGGAGCUUGCUCUGUGGGAUCAGUGGCGAACGGGUGAGUAACACGUGAGCAACCUGCCCCUGACUCUGGGAUAAGCGCUGGAAACGGCGUCUAAUACUGGAUACGAGUAGCGACCGCAUGGUCAGUUACUGGAAAGAUUUAUUGGUUGGGGAUGGGCUCGCGGCCUAUCAGCUUGUUGGUGAGGUAAUGGCUCACCAAGGCGUCGACGGGUAGCCGGCCUGAGAGGGUGACCGGCCACACUGGGACUGAGACACGGCCCAGACUCCUACGGGAGGCAGCAGUGGGGAAUAUUGCACAAUGGGCGCAAGCCUGAUGCAGCAACGCCGCGUGAGGGAUGACGGCCUUCGGGUUGUAAACCUCUUUUAGCAGGGAAGAAGCGAAAGUGACGGUACCUGCAGAAAAAGCGCCGGCUAACUACGUGCCAGCAGCCGCGGUAAUACGUAGGGCGCAAGCGUUAUCCGGAAUUAUUGGGCGUAAAGAGCUCGUAGGCGGUUUGUCGCGUCUGCUGUGAAAUCCGGAGGCUCAACCUCCGGCCUGCAGUGGGUACGGGCAGACUAGAGUGCGGUAGGGGAGAUUGGAAUUCCUGGUGUAGCGGUGGAAUGCGCAGAUAUCAGGAGGAACACCGAUGGCGAAGGCAGAUCUCUGGGCCGUAACUGACGCUGAGGAGCGAAAGGGUGGGGAGCAAACAGGCUUAGAUACCCUGGUAGUCCACCCCGUAAACGUUGGGAACUAGUUGUGGGGUCCAUUCCACGGAUUCCGUGACGCAGCUAACGCA